AAUUGUUUAGUUUACCUUGGAACUGUUCAAGUUUAAAGUAUCUGUUACCCAACAAACAAUUUUUAGUUCCACUAAAAAUCUAAAUCAACGAAAUUGUUGCGCCAAAAAAUAUCCUGGGGUAGACAAAAUAAUUGAGAUAAAUAAAAUUCUCUCGAAUUUUAAAUGACCAGAACUUAACGGAAAAUAAAUCAAUUUUGAUAACCGGUUUCAUUUCACUAGAAAACAGUAUUAUAUUAGUAUUACUUGGGAACUUGGUGUGACCAGAGUCUAUGUGUAUAUAGAGUCGCGCGAAGAGAAAAUCUAUCGUUUCGGCAACACAGUUUCUAUGCUGUUUGUUGACAAAAACUAUACAGUUCUGUUUUUCACCAUGCAUAAGCGAAUAUCAUUUUUUGAAAUUCUUCACAAGGUACACAGUUUUGAAAGAUUACACCGGUAAUGUUUUGUUAAAUUUGAGUGAACCAGUGUACAGGUUUAAUGUUGGAUUGAAAUGUGAUCUACUCAGUUUGGUAUUCUUAUGCAAAAUGUCAAAAAGUGAGUAAUCGAGUACUGGACAAUUGAGUAACAUGAACCCAAAUUUUCAUAAUUACCAUGUUUACUCAGUUUUGAGUUAUUAUCCAUGAUGAUUACUCACCCUGAGUAUAUGUAUAUGUCAAAAGUUUUCAACAGCAAUAUUAUCGGUUUCGGAAGAACAAUUGGUGUCUCUUUUUAUUCGUUGGCUAGCACCCAACAUCAGUAUUGCAGAGGAUUUGAAAACACCUAAAAGAUCUCUUCAAAAUUAACAACCGCAUGUUGUAUGUUCUACGAUGCCGUUUAAAGCCGGACUUUUAUUCGUGAUAACAAACGGAAACAUUUGUAUUGAUGUACAGUGCUCAACAAUCGAUGCAAUUUAAAUCCUUCGCAGUAUUCGGUGACGAAUGAUGACGGAUUUUCUGGCACAAAAAUGUAAAUCACAGUUCACGGGCAACUGUCAACCGGUUGGGUGCCACAUUCAAUGAAGACAUGGGAAUGAUUUAGUAAAUUUUCUAAUGUUUCGAUGAAAAAUAAAUCUGUGUUUUUGAUUGUUCUGA